CUCUGACCUCAAAUCAGGUAGGACUACCCGCUGAACUUAAGCAUAUCAAUAAGCGGAGGAAAAGAAACUAACAAGGAUUCCCCUAGUAACUGCGAGUGAAGCGGGAAAAGCUCAAAUUUAAAAUCUGGCGGUCUUUGGCCGUCCGAGUUGUAGUCUGGAGAAGUGCUUUCCGCGCUGGACCGUGUAUAAGUCUCUUGGAACAGAGCGUCAUAGAGGGUGAGAAUCCCGUCUUUGACACGGACUACCAGUGCUUUGUGAUGCGCUCUCAAAGAGUCGAGUUGUUUGGGAAUGCAGCUCAAAAUGGGUGGUGAAUUCCAUCUAAAGCUAAAUAUUGGCGAGAGACCGAUAGCGAACAAGUACCGUGAGGGAAAGAUGAAAAGCACUUUGGAAAGAGAGUUAAACAGUACGUGAAAUUGCUGAAAGGGAAACGCUUGAAGUCAGUCGCGUUUGCCGGAACUCAGCCUUCCUUUUGGUUGGUGCACUUUCCGGUAGACGGGCCAGCAUCGAUUUCGACCGUCGGAUAAGGGCUGGGGAAAUGUGGCACCUUUCGGGGUGUGUUAUAGUCCUCAGUCGCAUACGUCGGUUGGGAUCGAGGAUCGCAGCGCGCCGCAAGGCAGGGGUUCGCCCACUUUCGCGCUUAGGAUGCUGGCAUAAUGGCUUUAAACGACCCGUCUUGAAACACGGACCAAGGAGUCUAACAAACCUGCGAGUGUUUGGGUGGAAAACCCGAGCGCGUAAUGAAAGUGAAAGUUGAGACCUCUGUCGUGGAGGGCAUCGACGCCCGGACCUGAAGUUCUCUGACGGUUCCGCGGUAGAGCAUGUUUGUUGGGACCCGAAAGAUGGUGAACUAUGCCUGAAUAGGGUGAAGCCAGAGGAAACUCUGGUGGAGGCUCGUAGCGAUUCUGACGUGCAAAUCGAUCGUCAAAUUUGG
rnacentral:rRNA from 1 species